rnacentral:rRNA from 1 species
CACGUAGGCGGCUUUGUAAGUUAGAGGUGAAAGCCCGGGGCUCAACUUCCGAAUUGCCUUUAAGACUGCAUCGCUAGAAUUGUGGAGAGGUAAGUGGAAUUCCGAGUGUAGAGGUGAAAUUCGUAGAUAUUCGGAAGAAUACCAGUGGCGAAGGCGACUUACUGGACACAUAUUGACGCUGAGGUGCGAAAGCGUGGGGAGCAAACA